AUGUUCAAGGUGGUUUAGAGGUCCAUGGGGCUGACCAGCCUGAGCCUACUCACCUUCAAAGUCUAUGCAGCACCAAAAAAGGACUUCCCUCCCCAAAAUCCCAUGAAGGUUUAUGAGUUUUACUCUACUAAGUUCUCGAGGGCUAAUCUAAACAUGCAGAUGAGUCAAGGACCCAGCUUAGGAAAGCAUCUCUCAGCUUUGACAUUAUCAAGAGCUAUAUAAAAGUUGGUGUCAGGAAAGGUACUCCUAAAUGAAGCCAAAGAUGUAAAGUUUGGUUCAAUGGGGGUGAGACAGCUAUGAAUAUCUCCAAAAUGCACCUGCUGGAUUUUUUCCAGGACUGGGUGUUAUUGGUUUUGCUGGCCUUGUUGGACUUGUUUUGGCUAGAGGUUCAAAAAUAAAGAAGCAGGCAUUUCUACCCAGUUUCAUAGGAUUAGCAGCCUCUAUCCAUUAUCCACAGCAAGCCAUCGAGUUUGUGCAGGUCAGAAAGGAGAUAUUAUAUGACCAGGGUUUAUGAGGAUACAUAGUCGUGGAAGAUUUUUGGAAGGAGAACUUUCUAAAGCCAGGAAAUGUGAGGAAUUCAUCUGAAAAUAAA
rnacentral:lncRNA from 1 species